rnacentral:rRNA from 1 species
UAGUCCACGCCGUAAACGAUGUGUGCUAGUUGUCGGGCUCUAAGAGUUCGGUGACGCCGCUAACGCAUUAAGCACACCGCCUGGGGAGUACGGCCGCAAGGUUAAAACUCAAAGGAAUUGACGGGGACCCGCACAAGCGGUGGAGCAUGUUCUUUAAUUCGAAGCAACGCGAAGAACCUUACCUACACUUGACAUACUCGUCGGGAAUUUCAGAGAUGAUUUCCUUCAGUUCGGCUGGACGAUGUACAGGUGCUGCAUGGCUGUCGUCAGCUCGUGUCGUGAGAUGUUGGGUUAAGUCCCGCAACGAGCGCAACCCUCAUCCUUAGUUGCCAUCACGUUUGGGUGGGCACUCUAGGGAAACUGCCGGUGCUAAGCCGGAGGAAGGCGGGGAUGACGUCAAGUCCUCACGGCCCUUACGCGUAGGGCUACACACGUGCUACAAUGGCAGUGACAAUGGGAUAAUCCCCAAAAGCUGUCUCAGUUCGGAUUGUCGGCUGCAACUCGCCGGCA